rnacentral:rRNA from 1 species
AUUGAACGCUGGCGGCAUGCCUAACACAUGCAAGUCGAACGGCAGCACGGCAGUAGCAAUACUGUGGGUGGCGAGUGGCGGACGGGUGAGGAAUACGUCGGAAUCUGCCCAGUCGUGGGGGAUAACUAGCCGAAAGGUUAGCUAAUACCGCAUACGACCGAGAGGUGAAAGCGGGGGACCGCAAGGCCUCGCGCGAUUGGAUGAGCCGACGUCGGAUUAGCUAGUUGGUGGGGUAAAGGCCCACCAAGGCGACGAUCCGUAGCUGGUCUGAGAGGAUGAUCAGCCACACUGGAACUGAGACACGGUCCAGACUCCUACGGGAGGCAGCAGUGGGGAAUAUUGGACAAUGGGCGCAAGCCUGAUCCAGCAAUGCCGCGUGUGUGAAGAAGGCC